rnacentral:rRNA from 1 species
AGAGUUUGAUCCUGGCUCAGGACGAACGCUGGCGGCGUGCCUAAUACAUGCAAGUAGAACGCUGAAGAGAGGAGCUUGCUCUUCUUGGAUGAGUUGCGAACGGGUGAGUAACGCGUAGGUAACCUGCCUUGUAGCGGGGGAUAACUAUUGGAAACGAUAGCUAAUACCGCAUAACAAUGGGUGACACAUGUCAUUUAUUUGAAAGGGGCAAUUGCUCCACUACAAGAUGGACCUGCGUUGUAUUAGCUAGUAGGUGAGGUAACGGCUCACCUAGGCAACGAUACAUAGCCGACCUGAGAGGGUGAACGGCCACACUGGGACUGAGACACGGCCCAGACUCCUACGGGAGGCAGCAGUAGGGAAUCUUCGGCAAUGGACGCAAGUCUGACCGAGCAACGCCGCGUGAGUGAAGACGGUUUUCGGAUCGUAAAGCUCUGUUGUAGGGGAAGAACGUGUGUAAGAGUGGAAAGCUUACACAGUGACGGUACCCUACCAGAAAGGGACGGCUAACUACGUGCCAGCAGCCGCGGUAAUACGUAGGUCCCGAGCGUUGUCCGGAUUUAUUGGGCGUAAAGGGAGCGCAGGCGGUUUAGUAAGUCUGAAGUUAAAGGCAUUGGCUCAACCAAUGUAUGCUUUGGAAACUGUUAGACUUGAGUGCAGAAGGGGAGAGUGGAAUUCCAUGUGUAGCGGUGAAAUGCGUAGGUAUAUGGAGGAACACCGGUGGCGAAAGCGGCUCUCUGGUCUGUAACUGACGCUGAGGCUCGAAAGCGUGGGGAGCAAACAGGAUUAGAUACCCUGGUAGUCCACGCCGUAACGAUGAGUGCUAGGUGUUAGGCCCUUUCCGGGGCUUAGUGCCGCAGCUAACGCAUUAAGCACUCCGCCUGGGGAGUACGACCGCAAGGUUGAAACUCAAAGGAAUUGAC